CUUUUUUGGUACCUUUGUCCAAGUUUCCUAUUUCAUUGAAAAGUUUUGUAAUUUAAGAUAUGAAUGUUUAUAUCGUACAUGCAUUUUGUUCAUUAACUUUUCAGUGGAUGCAUGUAUUCUGCCAAGGUUUUGUUGCAUGUUAAAAUAACAGUAUGAGUAUUUAUUGAGCCUGUUUUGUAAUUUUAUACCAGGGGAAAAAAUAUUGAAUUGUUUUGUCCAUUUGAUUGUAUUUAGUUUAAAAGAGGCCAAGUGCUUGGGUUCCUGUUCAUUUUAUCUCAUUGCUUUUCUGAAAUAAAGAAUGAAAUAUUG
rnacentral:sRNA from 1 species